rnacentral:rRNA from 1 species
UGGGGAAUAUUGGACAAUGGGCGAAAGCCUGAUCCAGCCAUGCCGCGUGUGUGAAGAAGGUCUUCGGAUUGUAAAGCACUUUAAGUUGGGAGGAAGGGCAUUAACCUAAUACGUUAGUGCUUUGACGUUACCGACAGAAUAAGCACCGGCUAACUCUGUGCCAGCAGCCGCGGUAAUACAGAGGGUGCAAGCGUUAAUCGGAAUUACUGGGCGUAAAGCGCGCGUAGGUGGUUUGUUAAGUUGGAUGUGAAGUCCCCGGGCUCAACCUGGGAACUGCAUUCAAAACUGACUGACUAGAGUAUGGUAGAGGGUGGUGGAAUUUCCUGUGUAGCGGUGAAAUGCGUAGAUAUAGGAAGGAACACCAGUGGCGAAGGCGACCACCUGGACUAAUACUGACACUGAGGUGCGAAAGCGUGGGGAGCAAACA